UACGAGGGGGGCGAGCGUUGUUCGGAAUUAUUGGGCGUAAAGGGUGCGUAGGCGGUUCCGCAAGUCCUGUGUGAAAUCUUCGGGCUCAACUCGAAAGUCUGCACGGGAAACUGCGGGGCUUGAGUGUGGGAGAGGUGAGUGGGAAUUCCCGGUGUAGCGGUGAAAUGCGUAGAUAUCAGGAGGAACACCAAUGGCGAAGGCAGCUCGCUGGGACGGUACUGACGCUGAGGCGCGAAAGCGUGGGGAGCAAACAGG
rnacentral:rRNA from 1 species